rnacentral:rRNA from 1 species
ACUCCAUGAAGUCGGAAUCGCUAGUAAUCGCGAAUCAGAAUGUCGCGGUGAAUACGUUCCCGGGCCUUGUACACACCGCCCGUCACACCAUGGGAGUGGAUUGCACCAGAAGUGGUUAGUCUAACCUUCGGGAGGACGAUCACCACGGUGUGAUUCAUGACUGGGGUGAAGUCGUAACAAGGUAGCCGUAGGGGAACCUGCGGCUGGAUCACCUCCUUAAA